CCUACGGGAGGCAGCAGUCGAGAAUCAUUCACAAUGGGGGAAACCCUGAUGGUGCGACGCCGCGUGGGGGAAUGAAGGUCUUCGGAUUGUAAACCCCUGUCAUGUGGGAGCAAAUUAAAAAGAUAGUACCACAAGAGGAAGAGACGGCUAACUCUGUGCCAGCAGCCGCGGUAAUACAGAGGUCUCAAGCGUUGUUCGGAAUCACUGGGCGUAAAGCGUGCGUAGGCUGUUUCGUAAGUCGUGUGUGAAAGGCGCGGGCUCAACCCGCGGACGGCACAUGAUACUGCGAGACUAGAGUAAUGGAGGGGGAACCGGAAUUCUCGGUGUAGCAGUGAAAUGCGGAGAUAUCGAGAGGAACACUUGUGGCGAAGGCGGGUUCCUGGACAUUAACUGACGCUGAGGCACGAAGGCCAGGGGAGCGAAAGGGAUUAGAUACCCCUGUAGGUC
rnacentral:rRNA from 1 species